GCCUUGCCGCGUUCUUAAGCUGCAGUCGGAGGGUACCUUGGGCCGAAAGGCUUGAGGUGAGAGUGGCGAACGGGUGAGUAACACGUAGGUGAUCUGCCUUGGGGUGGGGAAUAGCCCAUGGAAACAUGGGGUAAUACCGCAUGAGGUCUUGGCCUUUUGGGGCUUUGAUGAAAGGAGCAAUUGCUCCGCCUGGGGAUGAGCCUGCGGUCCAUUAGCUAGUUGGUGAGGUAAGGGCCCACCAAGGCGACGAUGGAUAGCCGGCCUGAGAGGGUGAACGGCCACACUGGAACUGAGACACGGUCCAGACUCCUACGGGAGGCAGCAGCUAAGAAUCUUCGGCAAUGGCCUAACGGCUGACCGAGCGACGCCGCGUGGACGAAGAAGGCCGCAAGGUUGUAAAGUCCUUUUCUUGACGAAGAAUAAGGCAGGGAGUGGAAUGCCCUGCUGAUGACGUUAGUCGAGGAAGAAGCCCCGGCCAAUUACGUGCCAGCAGCCGCGGUAACACGUAUGGGGCGAGCGUUGUUCGGAAUUACUGGGCGUAAAGGGCGUGUAGGCGGUUCAGCAAGCCUGGUGUGAAAGUCUUCGGCCCAACCGGAGGAUGGCACUGGGAACUGCUGGGCUUGAGUUCUGGAGGGGGAGCUGGAAUUCCUGGUGUAGGGGUGAAAUCUGUAGAGAUCAGGAAGAACACCGGUGGCGAAGGCGGGCUCCUGGCCAGACACUGACGCUGAGGCGCGAAGCGUGGGGAGCGAACAGGAUUAGAUACCCUGGUAGUCCACGCUGUAAACGAUGUGCACUAGGUGUUGGGCGUUUGAAGCCUCGGUGCCGUAGCCAACGUGAUAAGUGCACCGCCUGGGGAGUAUGCUCGCAAGGUG
rnacentral:rRNA from 1 species